GGUAAAAAAGCCUCUCCACCAGCUCGUCCAUGUGCUUGUCUAAAAGGAAACAUCAUCCAAACGAAGCUCCACGACGUCCACAACUCGACUACGGAGCGACGACGUCCAAAUCGCCAGCGCUCGCUUCCGCCACCAUCGCGAAACUUCCCGCCCCAACCGUUCCAGCGGAGGUCACCCGCACUGCCGAGGAGAGGUUGCCGUCGACUCGCCUCCGCCGUCCGUCGCGAGAUGGAAGAUCAAAGUUUCCUGGACAUGUUGAGUUUUGGUGGCUCACAACAAAUGCCAUGUAGUCCACUUGGAGAGCAAGAGGUGCCAGCAACUCAAGAAUCUUCGGCAGCUGUGAAAGCAAAAUCCACGAAAGAAAAACAUUGGUCUAGUGAUGAUGACAAGGUGUUGAUACAAGCAUGGGCACACACUAGUUUGGAUGCAGUGAUCGGCACGGAUCAACAAUCAAGUUCAUAUUGGAAUAUGAUUUCAGAGUACUACAACACACAAGAACUCGUCAUGGCCAGAGCAUAAUUCAAAUGCAAUCAAUUGUCGUUGGAACACUAUCCGGGAACAGACCAAUAAGUUUUAUGGAUGUUGCCAGCAGAUUAUUAAUAGAAAUUGUAGUGGGCAGACUAUGUGUCUUCUGAACCAUUUGAUAUUGAAAAACAUUGCAUUAUGCCAUAGUA